rnacentral:rRNA from 1 species
UACGAGGGGGCAAGCGUUGUUCGGAAUUAUUGGGCGUAAAGGGCGCGUAGGCGGUGCGGUAAGUCUGAUGUGAAAUCUCCGGGCUCAACUCGGAGUCUGCAUCAAAAACUGCCGUGCUCGAGUGUGGGAGAGGUGAGUGGAAUUCCUGGUGUAGCGGUGAAAUGCGCAGAUAUCAGGAGGAACACCGGUGGCGAAGGCGGGUCUCUGGGCCGAUACUGACGCUGAGGAGCGAAAGCGUGGGGAGCGAACAGG